rnacentral:rRNA from 1 species
GACGAACGCUGGCGGCGUGCUUAACACAUGCAAGUCGAACGGUGAAGCUCCAGCUUGCUGGAGUGGAUCAGUGGCGAACGGGUGAGUAACACGUGAGCAACCUGCCCCUGACUCUGGAAUAAGCGCUGGAAACGGCGUCUAAUACUGGAUACGAGAAGGGUCCGCAUGGGCACUUUCUGGAAAGUUUUUCGGUUGGGGAUGGGCUCGCGGCCUAUCAGCUUGUUGGUGAGGUAAUGGCUCACCAAGGCGACGACGGGUAGCCGGCCUGAGAGGGCGACCGGCCACACUGGGACUGAGACACGGCCCAGACUCCUACGGGAGGCAGCAGUGGGGAAUAUUGCACAAUGGGCGAAAGCCUGAUGCAGCGACGCCGCGUGAGGGAUGACGGCCUUCGGGUUGUAAACCUCUUUCAGCAGGGAAGAAGCGAAAGUGACGGUACUUGCAGAAGAAGCACCGGCUAACUACGUG